UGCGUGUGUGUGUGUGCAGUGUGUAUAUGAGGGUGUUUUGGGGGGCCAUUCUCUGACUCUGCACCCCAUUUGCUUAUACUGUUACAAGAAAAAGAAACAUACAUUCAUUACUCUCCUUAUUUAUUUGAUUCACCCAUGUAUAGCGCCCCCUCUGGUCGUUGUCUGCCUGGUUGUUGAACGACUUGGCUACCGUUAGAUUCCCCAACAGCAAGAAGUGAGCUCAGAAGAAAUGCAGCCUCUUCGAGGCCGGUGCGCCCCCUCAUCUCCGGUCCCCCCCUGGGCGCUCAACACGUAAGCCUCAACCUCUGGCAUUCCUGCUCUGCAAAGUGCAUCUGUAAGAUGAAUGUCUCGUGGUGGCCCGUAGAAGAAACAUUUUGAGUCGGA